rnacentral:rRNA from 1 species
AGCAGUCGCCGCGGUAAUACAGAGGGUGCAAGCGUUAAUCGGAAUUACUGGGCGUAAAGCGCGCGUAGGUGGUUUGUUAAGUUGGAUGUGAAAGCCCCGGGCUCAACCUGGGAACUGCAUCCAAAACUGGCAAGCUAGAGUACGGUAGAGGGUGGUGGAAUUUCCUGUGUAGCGGUGAAAUGCGUAGAUAUAGGAAGGAACACCAGUGGCGAAGGCGACCACCUGGACUGAUACUGACACUGAGGUGCGAAAGCGUGGGGAGCAAACAGGAUUAGAUACCCCCGUAGUCCCUGUCUCUUAUAC